UAGCUUCAUGUGAGGGACAGAAGGAUAUGUACAUCGAUAAGUUCACGGUCAGAAACUCGUCUUCCCUCUGCUACAGCUGUCAAUCAUUCAGCACUCAAACUGCGCGUCGCGUUCGGUAAUGACAGUCAGCACGCUGGAGGAGAGACAGCCUGUGCAGCAACAACAAGACAACAAUGAUUAUAAGCAGGGAUAAUCUCCAGGUGUUCUGCACGGGUCCAGGAUCAAGAGAUCAUUCAUCAUGCAGACCCUGCUCCAGGAGAAGCAGCGUAUCCUGGGUCUGCUUGAUCAUUUUGUUGUCCUGGAUGUGAGAACAUGGUCAAAAGGUGUGUCAAUCAGCAUUCAGCCAUAAAAGCAGCCUUCUCGUUAAAAGGCUCCGGAGGACAAACAGAUCGGGAAGCUGUGGAGACGUUGCUGCCCGGCAUUCAUCGAUCCACCGCGAGGUACAGCG